ACGAACCGAACGCAUCUCAAAGAUUCUCUCGCUCGGAAAGUUGUUGUUUUUUCUUCUUUCGCCGAGCAAAAGCUUUUUCGCUCUGCGCUGCUCUGCUCCCUGGGCUGCCUAACGCGGCUGCGCAAUCAGGAACUUAUUGUGCAAGGCUAUUGCCCUGCCCACCGCCCACUGGCCACUGGCCCUGACUCUGCGUCCCCUAGGAGUUAUUUCUGGCUAAUAUUUGUUGCAAGAUGUCUCUGAUCUGAAGAUGAGAUAGUCGGUAAG